GCCCGAUGAACCUGAAUAUCCGUUAUGGAAAAUUCAUCAUUAAAAUUGUAAUAUUUAAAUAAUAUUAUGAGAAUAGUGUGCAUUUUUUCCAUAUAAGGACAUUGUAAUCUAUUAGCAUAUACCAAAUUUAUCAUAAAAUAUAACUUAUAGUUUAUUCCAAUUAAAUUGCUUGCAUUUUAACACAGAAUAAAUGUUAUUAAUUUGAUAAAGUGCUGAUAGAUUUAUAUGAUUACAGUGCGUUAAUUUUUCGGAAUUAUAUAAUGGCAUAAUUAUCAUUGAUUUUUGUGUUUAUUAUAUGCACUUGUAUGAUUAACAAUGCGAAAGAUUCAGGAUACUUCGGG
rnacentral:rRNA from 1 species